AUGAAUUGAUAUGAAUUCACGUGACUUACAAAUGACUCUUUAUUGAUUUUGGACAGGAAAAUCAAUGAUGAGAAAUUUAAAGGUAGGGAGUGGUAAUUACGACUGGCUAUAUAAAUUGCACGACAGAAAAGAUAGAAGAAAGAUAUAAAAAAGAACAUUGGGUUCUGUAAUUAAUUGGGGAGGAUUACGAUUUCUCGGCCAAUUCCUCACGAUCUUUUUUUUUUUUUUUUUUUUGCUCUUGCAGGUUUCCAGUGUGGUACUAGCGAAGUCCAAGCGUGACCGGUGACGGUGCUCUUCUCCAGACCAGCUUCAACAAUUUCCGGCAAUGCUCAGCGACUUAACGUACGUUCUCUCGACACAAUCCUUAGUGUGUUCAACAAGCCCGGUAGCGCUGUCGAUCUUCCAGCCGUUGCCGCAACCUUGCCUUGAUUCAUCCUUAAGUCUUUGUGGAUGUCUCCUUGCAUGAAUCGAGGCGCAUUAGGGCUUUCGCCAAAAUCAUGUUAAACGAAAUUCAUCCCGGCGCAUACAUUUCCAACUAGAUAUGCUAUUGAACGAUUAAUGGCA
rnacentral:lncRNA from 1 species